rnacentral:rRNA from 1 species
GCGUGCCUAAUACAUGCAAGUCGAGCGAACGGACGAGAAGCUUGCUUCUCUGAUGUUAGCGGCGGACGGGUGAGUAACACGUGGAUAACCUACCUAUAAGACUGGGAUAACUUCGGGAAACCGGAGCUAAUACCGGAUAAUAUUUUGAACCGCAUGGUUCAAAAGUGAAAGACGGUCUUGCUGUCACUUAUAGAUGGAUCCGCGCUGCAUUAGCUAGUUGGUAAGGUAACGGCUUACCAAGGCAACGAUGCAUAGCCGACCUGAGAGGGUGAUCGGCCACACUGGAACUGAGACACGGUCCAGACUCCUACGGGAGGCAGCAGUAGGGAAUCUUCCGCAAUGGGCGAAAGCCUGACGGAGCAACGCCGCGUGAGUGAUGAAGGUCUUCGGAUCGUAAAACUCUGUUAUUAGGGAAGAACAUAUGUGUAAGUAACUGUGCACAUCUUGACGGUACCUAAUCAGAAAGCCACGGCUAACUACG